GUAAUGACAUUUAAGACAACUGGAUUUAGAAAGUGUCAGCAGAAAAAUGUGCUCACAGGAAUUACUCUCUGUAGACAUCUUAAAGACUACCUGCUAACCGAAGAACAGCUACACGAAAGUAACUACCCUAGACCACAACCCAACAAACCAGGAAGAAUUCUUUUAAACCCAGCUAUGAAAAAACUCUUGCAAAUGAUGAUCCCCUCAGUGGAAGGCAGCAUCUAAGAUGAUCUGUUGUUGAUAUGGAAAAAUAUACGGUGUGACGGACUCCUUCAGGCAGACACAGCAGGGUAGAGGAAUGUAACCACCACUUUGGCCGAGUGUUGAGUUAUAAAGGCAAGUAUUUGGUAGUUUUCUUUGGUUUGAC
rnacentral:lncRNA from 13 species